ACCACAAACAUCUUAGAUGGACUGAAGAGCUUCUCCUUCUCCUUUUUAUCACCAAAAACAUUAUCCAGAGCAAAAAACUUCUCCAAAACACCAUUUCCUCUAGUGUGUAUUAUUCAAUCUGAUUUCUUAUACUUAAACCAAUUCUUGUCUUAUUCAUCUCUACAAUAUAACACUUUCAUAGUUCAUAUUAUUUUACUUAGCCAAACUUAGUAUACAUCUGCUUUGAAUGCAACUAGCAAAAUCUGAAAUCAAUAAUGGAUUGUGAUUAACUUCAAUGCAAAUUUCUAGCUUAUACAGAUCUAAUCCUAUUCGGACAAAUUUUAGCUCAAUUCUAAAGAUCUUCUGCUACUUCCGUUUAUCCAUGGGAUUUAAGGUAUAGUAGCGAAAUGGAUCAAAUGCAAAAGUCUCAUGUCAAUGGGCACAAAUUUGCAUUUAUGUACCAAAAAUAAGGAGCAUUUUAUUAACAAGAAGACAUAAAUUUUAUGUUGACAAGAAGAGUAUUUUGUGAGCACAAUUUUGUAUUUCAUACUAAUAUUGACAAGAAGAGUAUUUUGUAGGGAGACAAACGGUGCGGGGCGGUGCGAUUGCGGGACAAACCCGCAUAAACCCGCGAAGGUAAUUCAACACACCCCCGCCCCGCCCCGCAAAGUAUAAUUUGUUGUUUUUAAA